rnacentral:lncRNA from 1 species
AGUCAGGGCAUCCAAUGCUCUCGAUCCCUCUUUCUUCCUCCUCUCGCUGUUGCUUCCGCGGUCGUCGAUGCGACGCAGGCCUGGCGGAGAAUCCCUCUUUCUUCCCCUCCGCUGCAGGCUCCCGUCCUCCCCUUUCGACUGUGGCUUGCAGGCCCGUGCCCCCCCCCCCAAUCGAUUCUCGUCCGCGCGUCGUCUUGCGGCAGCGGUCGGUUCAAGGUGCUCAAAAUCGGGGGGAAGUGGAAGAGCUCCACGCCUGUCGAGCUGUCUGCGUCGUCCUCGAGGGGAGUAAAAGCUGGCCGGCGUGCUCGCUGUGAAGCAGCAAGCAGUCUGGCUGCCUGUGUGCUCGUCCUCUCUGCCUCUCGGGUCAGACAGUGCUGGCCUGAAGAGUCUCAUCAAGGCAUCCAAGCUGGCGGAGUUGAGGAGUCUCUAUUUCAGGCCGAGCGUGUGCGUGGUCCGAUGGAGACGACAGCGAAGAAGCGGAAGCGAGAGCGGGAUCUAUUGUCGAUCCAAGAGGAGGGGACGAUUGUUCAAUCCCCUCAAACAGGGGAGAUCUCUGUCCGCGGCGCCGAUCUGGAGUCCGGCGAGGACUCCUCCGACUCUGUCACCUCCGACGCUGGCAGCGCCAAGGCUGCUCCCGACGACGUGCUUCAUAUCGCGCAUGCCCUCUGCAAAGUUUGCGCCAAGUCUCCUAGAGCCGUCAUCGACUUUGUUCGAAGAGUGAGCCCUGCCACCGUCGGCCGUUCGAUUGAUUGGGACGUCGUCCGCGAGGAAGAGUCAUGUAAGAUGGGCGAUGGCCGUAGCCGGUGGACCGAUAUGGAGGUUCGUGUGUUUCUUGAGAGCUGCUUGGAGGAGAUGGCAGCGUUCACCAUCACCUCCAACUCCCCCAAGCCGCAGGCAUGGCAGAACCUAAUACACAAGAUGUACACCAAGUGCAAGAAGAAGGUGAACAAGGCUCAAUUGGAGUACAUUUGGGGGCAGUGUAAGAAGCGGUACAACAGGUGGGUGUGGCUAGAAUCGCAUGCAAGCGGGCUGGGUCGUGAUCCCCAUACAUCAGCCAUUGUUGCCGAUGAUGAGUGGUGGGAAAGCAAGAAUGCGCAAAAUAAAGGUGUCUUAAGCUUCAGGAAUGAUCCUCUGAAGCACAUUGACCUUCACCACGCGGUAUUCAGUGGGCACACAGUUGUCGGAAACCACUCCGCCGUCGCAGGGGCAGCCCCACAGGCACCGCAAGGAGCAGUUCAGUGGCAGACCAUCGACAUGGCGCAGCUCGCUGCUGCUUAUAGACCACCACCUCCAACUCCACCCCCAACGGCAGCAGACCGGGGCAAGGGAAAGAGGCCAGCAGCAAACACUACUGCCUCAGGGAGUUCUUCCAAGAAGUCACGAAGCGACUCCGCUGGACUGGCUUUGGAGAGGAUUGCGGACAUCCGAGAGCAGAGCUACCAGAGUCGUGUUGCUCAGAUGGAAGCAGAGAAGUCUAUGGGCCUUGAUGCGUGCAUGGAGUUGGUGGAAAAUGAUGGCCAUGAAAUUGGAGGAAGUGUGUGGUAUGCUGCUUGUGCGCUAUUCCGUGACCCAUUCACCUGCAAAUGCUUUGUUCGAAUCAAGGACGCCGCUAGGCGCUUGGAAUUUAUACGCACUGGUGGUACUGGACAGUCAUCUGGUGGCACCUGGAAAUCGGCGAUGAGUUACGGCGCGGGUGGAUCGAGUUGGAAUGGAGGCGGUCACACAAGCAGCGAAGAAGAAGAUGCCAUCAUUGAGUACAUGGCUGCUACCCUUGAUUUCAAUGAGAGGGCACCAAGGAGAAUACCGGUGCAAACCGGUAUCAGUUGGAUGAUGGACACGAUGGCAAAUCGAAGCCAAUGCAGGGCAAUGUUCAGGCUUACUGCAGAGGAGAUACACAAUUUGCAUGAUCUAUUGGUCACUUCUUUUGGUCUUGUAGGAACAGCAGGGGUCUGUUCCAUGGAAAAGCUUGGUAUUUUCUUGUACACGAUGGGUGGAAAUCGUCCAAUCAGAGACGCGAACAAUCGGUGGGUCCGCUCCAACUCGACAGUGUACCUACUUGUCGACUCCGGAUUUCCUACCAGGAUGGGCUUCCUUGCACCGUACCCACAUGUACGGUACCACAGGGAUCAACUUGCGGUCGAGGGAGCCCCGCCACCCGUAGGACGGGAAGAGACUUUCAACCAUCGACACUCCACGUUGCGAGGGAUCGUGGAAAGACAAUUUGGCAUCGCAAAAAAGAUGUGGAAAAUAUUGAAAGAAAUCCCUUAUUACCGAGAUGAGGACAUCCCUGCACGCAUCAUUCAUGCAGCUUUCGCUCUACACAACUUUAGGUUGGAUAGUAAAGAUCCGACCUAUCGGUUCACUAAUGCUCUCUACAACGGCAAUCCAGUGCCGCUGCUGAACGAUUCAUUCGACCAUAUGUAUUACGCAACAAAUAGCGAGGCCGCUAUGUGCAUGUUGCGUGACUGUAUUGCUGAUGAUGCGUACAAUAACUACCAUUAG